rnacentral:rRNA from 1 species
UACAGAGGUCUCAAGCGUUGUUCGGAUUCAUUGGGCGUAAAGGGUGCGUAGGCGGCCUUCUAAGUCAGACGUGAAAUCCCCCGGCUUAACCUGGGAACUGCGUCUGAUACUGGGAGGCUUGAGUAUGGGAGAGGGAUGUAGAAUUCCAGGUGUAGCGGUGAAAUGCGUAGAGAUCGGCAGGAACACCCAGGGGGAAACCAGUCGACUGGGCAUCUACUGACGCUGAGGUGCGAGAGCGUGGGGAGCGAACCGG